AUCGAACUUAGCUCAAAAUCGUUUAUUCGUAAGUAACAGUUAAUCGUACAGCUUACAAAUGUAUAUGAAAUUACCAUUAAAAGAGGCUCCAAUCGUUUCCAUGAUCCUAGGGUAACGUUUUUUAUUUUGUUGUAUUGCAAUGUAUAUACAUUUUUUUCAGCCUCCACCCCCAAAAUAGAAUUUUGGAUAUACGCCUGUAACUGUGUAAUGAUAUAAAUUUCUAUUUUUAUAUACAGGUAAUCCUGAACCAACUAUAAUGCCAUCAGGUAAUGCCCUACGCACAUUUAUGUGGCUGUAUUUAUCUAAUAAAAGUAGACACAAGGACUUAAAAGAUCUUUAACUCCAUUAAACCUCAUUAGCACUAAUGAAGAUGGAAAAUUUAUUUAAUGACAUAU